rnacentral:rRNA from 1 species
UACGUAGGGUGCAAGCGUUGUCCGGAAUCACUGGGCGUAAAGGGCGCGUAGGCGGCCGUUCAAGUCGGGGGUGAAAGCCUGUGGCUCAACCACAGAAUUGCCUUCGAUACUGGACGGCUCGAGACCGGAAGAGGUCAGUGGAACUGCGAGUGUAGAGGUGAAAUUCGUAGAUAUUCGCAAGAACACCAGUGGCGAAGGCGGCUGACUGGUCCGGUUCUGACGCUGAGGCGCGAAAGCGUGGGGAGCAAACAGG